UACGUAGGGUGCGAGCGUUGUCCGGAAUUAUUGGGCGUAAAGAGCUUGUAGGCGGUUUGUCGCGUCUGCUGUGAAAAUCCGGGGCUCAACCCCGGACUUGCAGUGGGUACGGGCAGACUAGAGUGUGGUAGGGGAGACUGGAACUCCUGGUGUAGCGGUGGAAUGCGCAGAUAUCAGGAGGAACACCGAUGGCGAAGGCAGGUCUCUGGGCCACUACUGACGCUGAGAAGCGAAAGCAUGGGGAGCGAACAGG
rnacentral:rRNA from 1 species